GCAAGGAAUCUUCCGCAAUGGGCGAAAGCCUGACGGAGCAACGCCGCGUGUGGGAUGACGCCUUUCGGGGUGUAAACCACUUUUCUCAGGGAAGAAGCACUGACGGUACCUGAGGAAGAAGGACCGGCUAACUACGUGCCAGCAGCCGCGGUAAUACGUAGGGUCCGAGCGUUGUCCGGAGUUACUGGGCGUAAAGCGCGCGCAGGCGGCGGUGUAAGCAUGGCGUGAAAGCCCCUGGCUUAACCAGGGAGGGUCGUCGUGGACUGCACCGCUUGAGGGCGGUAGGGGCUGGUGGAAUGCCUGGUGUAGUGGUGAAAUGCGUAGAGAUCAGGCGGAACACCCGUGGCGAAGGCGGCCAGCUGGGCCGUCCCUGACGCUGAGGCGCGAAGGCGUGGGGAGCGAACGGGAUUAGAAACCCCAGUAGUCC
rnacentral:rRNA from 1 species